GGUGGAGAAACUGUGUCGUAUCCGUCGCAGGAAGUGGAGCAGAAUCGUAGCCGUUACUGCGGCCUGCCAGGGGGUCCAGGCCCGUCGGCUGACGUUCGGUUGGGGUGUCCGACGGAGAGAGGUGGCUAGCUACCCAUCUGAGAGGAGCUCGGAUGCUGCAAAUCCUAUUGGGUGCCUUGGGCGUUAAGGCGGUGGGCGAGAAUCACUUGACGUAGG
rnacentral:lncRNA from 1 species